rnacentral:rRNA from 1 species
CUCCACCCGUUGUGGUGCUCCCCCGCCAAUUCCUUUAAGUUUCAGCCUUGCGGCCGUACUUCCCAGGUGGCUCGCUUCACGGCUUCCCUACGGCACCGACAACGGUCGCACCGUGGCCGACACCUAGCGAGUAUCGUUUACGGCUAGGACUACCCGGGUAUCUAAUCCGGUUCGUGCCCUUAGCUUUCGUCCCUUGCCGUCAGGUCCGUUCUGGUGAGACGCCUUCGCCACUGGUGGUCCUUCAAGGAUUACAAGAUUUCACCCCUACCCCUGAAGUACCUCUCACCUCUCCCGGCCUCGAGCCAGACAGUAUCUCCUGAAAGCCUGACAGUUAAGCUGCCAGAUUUCUCAAGAGACUUAUCCGGCCGGCUACAGACCCUUUAGACCCAAUAAUAACGGUUACCACUCGAGCCGCCGGUGUUACCGCGGCGGCUGGCACCGGUCUUGCCCGGCCCUUGCUAUGAAAUGCUUUUUAGGCAUCUCGACAGCCAGAUUUGUAACCUGGCACUCGAGGUUCCCUUAUCGCUGUUGCCAGCAUUGUAAAGUUUUCGCGCCUGCUGCACCCCGUAGGGCCUGGAUUCGUGUCUCAGAAUCCAUCUCCGGGCUCUUGCUCUCACAACCCGUACCCGUCGUAGGCUAGUAGGUACGCUACACCCACUACUACCUGAUAGGCCGCAGACCCAUCCUUAGGCGCCGGAGCUUUAAAUCUCGAUGCAUUCCAGCAAUCGAGACCUAUCGGGUAUUAUACCCAGUUUCCCGGGUUUAUACCCAACCU